rnacentral:rRNA from 1 species
AAAGAGCUCGUAGGUGGUUUGUCGCGUUGUUCGUGAAAUCUCACGGCUUAACUGUGAGCGUGCGGGCGAUACGGGCAGACUUGAGUACUGCAGGGGAGACUGGAAUUCCUGGUGUAGCGGUGGAAUGCGCAGAUAUCAGGAGGAACACCGGUGGCGAAGGCGGGUCUCUGGGCAGUAACUGACGCUGAGGAGCGAAAGCGUGGGGAGCGAACAGGAUUAGAUACCCUGGUAGUCCACGCCGUAAACGGUGGGUACUAGGUGUGGGUUUCCUUCCUCGGGAUCCGUGCCGUAGCUAACGCAUUAAGUACCCCGCCUGGGGAGUACGGCCGCAAGGCUAAAACUCAAAGAAAUUGACGGGGGCCCGCACAAGCGGCGGAGCAUGUGGAUUAAUUCGAUGCAACGCGAAGAACCUUACCUGGGUUUGACAUGCACAGGACGCCGGCAGAGAUGUCGGUUCCCUUGUGGCCUGUGUGCAGGUGGUGCAUGGCUGUCGUCAGCUCGUGUCGUGAGAUGUUGGGUUAAGUCCCGCAACGAGCGCAACCCUUGUCUCAUGUCGCCAGCGGGUAAUGCCGGGGACUCGUGAGAGACUGCCGGGGUCAACUCGGAGGAAGGUGGGGAUGACGUCAAGUCAUCAUGCCCCUUAUGUCCAGGGCUUCACACAUGCUACAAUGGCCGGUACAAAGGGCUGCGAUGCCGCGAGGUUAAGCGAAUCCUUUUAAAGCCGGUCUCAGUUCGGAUCGGGGUCUGCAACUCGACCCCGUGAAGUCGGAGUCGCUAGUAAUCGCAGAU